GUUGUAGAAAUGAUGAGGUUUUCAUGUCUCUUCUCUGACUAAACCAUUGAAGACGACCAAACACCUCUGAUCUCAGCAAA
rnacentral:snoRNA from 1 species